AGGCCUGCAGAGAGAGAGGCAGGGUCUGAUCUGAUGCCUCAGUGGUAGCUGUUGAUCAGCCGUUGCCUCUCUCUUUCUCUCUG
rfam:Myotis lucifugus cont2.20813, whole genome shotgun sequence.